UACGAAGGGGCUAGCGUUGCUCGGAUUGACUGGGCGUAAAGGGCGCGUAGGCGGUUCGUACAGUCAGACGUGAAAUUCCUGGGCUCAACCUGGGGCUGCGUUGAUACGUGCGGACUUGAGUGCGGAAGAGGGUCGUGGAAUUCCCGAGUGUAGAGGUGAAAAUUCGUAGAUAUUGGGAAGAACACCGGUGGCGAAGGCGGCGACCUG
rnacentral:rRNA from 1 species